CGUGCGCGGUCGUCUCGCGCUCGUGGAAAAAAAGAUCAUUGAAUUUUAUGAAAAAGGAAAACUUUCAAAUAGUGUUCUAUUCUGUGUUGCCAGUGAUAGACUGUGAAAGACUAGUGCUUCGGAAUUGAAUAUUAUUUUUAAUAAAAAGAAUUUAUUACGUGAACGUUUCGAGGUAUUUUCCGGUUCGGGUAAUAAAAAUGGUGAACUUACGACUCAAAAUUCGAAAGAAAUCACGGUGAUAAAUAAACAAGCAUUGUGUCGUAACGAUGUGACAGACAAAGUGAAAAUCUAGACUAUCCGAUACCUACCCUAAAGCUCUAGUUAAACUAUCCAAAAAUACUCUUCCAAUUCUCCUAAUAGCUAAUAAAAGUCAAGUGCCAAUCAUAGUGCAAAAAAAUAACUCUUUACAAAAAGGAAACCAUAGAGUUAUAGACGAACAGAAGUGUUAGAGAAUAGUUCAACGAACUCUAAAACGCAACGAUAUAAAAACAGUGCCACGUUAUAAUACUGCCAAGUGAGAAUAUUUAAAUAAAAAAUAAUUGGACUUCGAAGUUUAAAUUGUGUAAUGUGUUAACGAUCUUAACGGUCGGCUUUUUUAAAAAUGGAUCUCCAUGCGCCGCCGCAAUUAGUUGUUCAUGGAUAUGAGCCUCAUGCACCUUUAUUGGAAGUUGAGGGUCUGGAUCCUCAUAGUCCUCAGCAGAAGGUCCUCAUCCACGCUCCAACGCUGCAAGGUCAGGAGCUGAUGGGCAGCGAUCAUCGUAAUGGAGAGUACGAUUUUUCAGAUGAGCAGUACCACGCGCACAGCAGCAACCAGAGCGGUGAAAGUGA